CCUACGGGUGGCUGCAGUGGGGAAUAUUGGACAAUGGGCGAAAGCCUGAUCCAGCAAUGCCGCGUGAGUGAAGAAGGCCUUCGGGUUGUAAAGCUCUUUUACCCGGGAAGAUAAUGACUGUACCGGGAGAAUAAGCCCCGGCUAACUCCGUGCCAGCAGCCGCGGUAAUACGGAGGGGGCUAGCGUUGUUCGGAAUUACUGGGCGUAAAGCGUACGUAGGCGGCUUUUUAAGUCAGAGGUGAAAUCCCACGACUCAAUCGUGGAACUGCCUUUGAGACUGGAUCGCUCGAAGAUGGGAGAGGUUAGUGGAAUUCCGAGUGUAGAGGUGAAAUUCGUAGAUAUUCGGAAGAACACCAGUGGCGAAGGCGGCUAACUGGACCAUUCUUGACGCUGAGGUACGAAAGCGUGGGGAGCAAACAGGAUUAGAUACCCCAGUAGUC
rnacentral:rRNA from 1 species